GACCGCCUGGCACCCCGACUGGGUACCUCCAUCAAUCGCUGUUUCCUAGUACUGGUGAGUACCAUAAGCACUGUACUGGAACAACGUAAACCCCACGAACCACCACAGCUUGGUUGGGGUCUCGCCGUCCUCCACCCACCCUGGACCCAAGAGCAGGAUCCAGCUUCCAGUGGGUAGACCUCUCCUAGCUCAGAAAGCGUAGCAGGAACAAGAUCUUAGUGAUUAUACUCAGGGGAGUAUUGUGAUAUACCAAUCCCCCAGGCAUGAGCCAAAACUUCAUGAAGGUGCAAGAUGAUCUGAGCUUUAAUGGUUCAGGUUGGCUUUUAUACAACUUUUUAGGCCAGAGGAACACCCACUGGACCUAAUGGGGCACAGGAACACAAAUUGUACAGACCAAUAGAAUCAAUGUAAUAAUGCCUGACGCUCCCACAUAUAGCACACUGUCCCUCCCCUCUGCCUGUGAUACAAUUAUGGUAGAGUGGAAAUUUAUUAUAAAUUAGGCAGUCACAAAAGAAUAAUUCUUGAGAAUUUUAACUCAAAUAAAACCGAAAAGAAGCGAAUCGCACUUGGAAUUAUCUCAGCUAGUGACUUACUAGACUGAUGCAAAGGAGUACUAUCAUUAAAUAACCAAACGUAUGUGCGUUCGU